AGCGCAGACGGAACUGCAAGUCUGAUGUGAAAGCCCGGGCUCAACCGCGGGACUGCAUCGGAUACUGUAGAUCUGGAGUGCCGGAGGGGCAAGCGGAAUUCCUGGUGUAGCGGUGAAAUGCGUAGAUAUCAGGAGGAACACCGGCGGCGAAGGCGGCUUGCUGGACGGCAACUGACGUUGAGGCUCGAAAGCGUGGGGAGCAAACAG
rnacentral:rRNA from 1 species